GUGUCUUUAGUAUAGUAAGUAUAAUAAAUUUAGAUUUUAUGGGUUUAGGACAUA
rnacentral:tRNA from 1 species